GUGCACUGCUAAGUGACUGUAUUUCCUCUGCUGUGGUCUUCCAGUCUCAUUCCGGUGCCAGAUCGACCUCGCAUAGCAGAAGAGUUGAGUUAGAUCAGUGGCUCAGCUCUUUCGAAUGUUGAGAACAAAC